rnacentral:lncRNA from 1 species
UAAUUAAUUUUUUUUAAAUUUCACUCUUAUUAUUCCAGAAAGCAUAUAUCAUUACUUAUUUAGCAAUGUUGCUAAACAGACAAAUCUCUUAUUGCAAUUUAUCAUAGACACGUUUAAAAUACUACAAUCUCCUUAACAACCACCUUGUCCAAUAAAUUGAACUGGAACUAAUUACAAUAGCAAAAAGAAGUAAAAAAAUUAAAGGUAAACAGCUCAUUUUUUCUUGAAAUAAGCAACUUAGGACUUUCCGAGGCUUUGUAUUAACAAAUCAACCAGUCUUAGGAGAAGGUACAGCUGGUUUCCCCGGAGGUGUUAUUGUUUUUGCUCUUGUUUCAGGUACCACUGGUAUUCCUUGUGCAUUUCCUGCUUCUUCAUUUCCCUGUUAUUUAAUUUGCAGAAACGUAUACAAGAAAAUAAUAGUCUUAAUUUACUACUAAAAACAUCUCUUUUCCGAUAAAAAAAAAAAAAACCGACCGAACGUGAUCAAUUUUAAACAAUUACCGACCAAAAACCGACCGAAUUGGAAGGGUUGAAAAAAUACUGGCCGAUAGCAAAUAUCGACCGAAAAUCAGUCGGAUCGGUCAGCUGAAUUCCAAACUCGACCAAAGGAAAAAAACGGCCGGAAGCUGUCGGUAUUUAUCGACCGAAAUCGAUCGAUUUUUUAAAAUUAUUCAAUUUAAAAAUACACCAUCGAGAAUCAAACCAAAGUUUGUAUCGUGGCAUGAUACUAUUCUACCAUUAGACCAUUGAUGCAUGUUAGUUUAAUACUUUUACUUAUUUUAUUUAUACUCGUCAGUCGCUAUUUUGCACGAAAAUACCCAUUCAAAUUUGUCGAUUUUACUUAAAAAAUAAAUUACAGUUUAAAUGAUUUGGCAAAAAAAGGACCAAUUUUGGUCUGUUAUCUUAAUAUAAAUUUUAAUUUAAUUUAAAUAAAAAACCAACUGAAGUUGGUCGGUUAUUGAAAAAUAAAUUUUCUAGUAUACAUUACCGAUCGAAUUGGAUGGAAAAAUAGUUUUUCGCCUUUUGGCGCAAAAAAAAAAAGCCCGAAUUUGGUCGGUUUCGUAAAAAAAAAAUAGGAAAAAUUUAUUUUCAAAAGACCGACCGCCAUUCCGGGAUAGGCGGCUAAUACUAAAAUAAUAAGUGAAGUAGUCAUCGUCUGAUGGUUUUUUCAGUCGGUAUUACCGGUCAAUUUUUGGAUCAGUUUUUUCUGUCGGAAAAAUAAGUUUUUUAAUAGUGACUACUCCCUCUAUUCCCUUUUACUUGUCCAAUUUUUAUUUUGCAGUAAAAGAUUGCUUGAAAGUGUGGGUACCCUCACAUAUAGCUUAGACGUAUUGUCCAACUAUUCUGCUAUUAAUUGAGCUUUAACAUUGGUUUCCAUGAAUUUACUAAAACCAUAAAACUUGCUAGUAAUACAAAUUAAGAAAAUAUUUAUAAGUUGAUGAUGACGGAGGAGGAGGAAACUUACUCCCACUGGUUGUACAGUCUCUUUAUAUUCUUCUGAGUUUUCUACCUGUUAUUUCAUUUGUAUAAACAUUUUGCAAAUAAGAAGAAAAUACUAAUUUAUGAUUGCAAGUACUAUUUAAGGUUUGUUAGAACAAAACUUUAAGAUGAAAAACACACCUCAGGAUUUAUCAUGAGUACCAUUGAAAUUUUUUUAUUUUACGUUUAUUGAUCUUACAAACCAAGAGUAUUGUUUUCAGAGAAUCGCUAUCACUUUUCCAACGUUACAUAUUCGAAAAGAAUCACAAGUCUGAUUUGGGGAUCAUAACCCUAAAUAUGCAUAUAUUUACUAUUUAGUCCACCAUUAAAUUAGAAAUUACAUUUGAAUCAGAGUACUUAUAUUUAGUACUGUGUCUUUGGUUCAUUUAACUUUAGAUCUUGACCGAUCAUUUUUUUUUAUUUUGGGCCACAUAUAAUUAUCUUUAAUUCAUAUAGAUAAUAAUUAUUUUUUUGAGGAUCUCUUGCAUGUAAAAUUUAGCAAGAGUCAAGAGAAAUGUAAUGUUAAAAAUCAUCGUACUUGAAAAUGUAGCUGUGUAAAAAACAAAAUCGCUAUAUAGUUGGUUCAAGGAGAACGAUGAAGAGGAGGAAAUUAAACUUACAGCCACACUUAGUUCUGCAGCAUUUCCUGAAAUAUUAAAUGGAAUACAUUAAUUCAAUCAGAGCAACUGAAGAAUUUCAAUAUAAAAAACUACUGUCAAACUUUUUUACCUUUAGCAGCUUUUGCACAAGAAGUGAGGGAUUUAGCUAGACCUUGAAUCCUGUUCGACAUAUCUACAAUGAACUUAUCCAUAUUUUCUCGUUUUUUUAAAUCCAAGGAACAAAUUAAGCUUUAUAAAUCAGAUGUAUAUAUAGUUGAAAUAUGUAUCACCUUCAAUUUUAUUUAAUUGGGUGAGAGAUAAAAAAAC